rnacentral:rRNA from 1 species
AUUGAACGCUGGCGGCAUGCCUUACACAUGCAAGUCGAACGGCAGCAUGGGUGCUUGCACCUGAUGGCGAGUGGCGAACGGGUGAGUAAUGCAUCGGAACGUGCCCUGAAGUGGGGGAUAACGUAGCGAAAGUUACGCUAAUACCGCAUAUUCUGUGAGCAGGAAAGAGGGGGAUCGCAAGACCUCUUGCUUUAGGAGCGGCCGAUGUCGGAUUAGCUAGUUGGUGAGGUAAAGGCUCACCAAGGCGACGAUCCGUAGCGGGUCUGAGAGGAUGAUCCGCCACACUGGGACUGAGACACGGCCCAGACGCCUACGGGAGGCAGCAGUGGGGAAUUUUGGACAAUGGGCGCAAGCCUGAUCCAGCCAUGCCGCGUGAGUGAAGAAGGCCUUCGGGUUGUAAAGCUCUUUCGGCGGGGAAGAAAUGGUUUCGGUUAAUACCUGGAGCUGAUGACGGUACCCGCAUAAGAAGCACCGGCUAACUACGUGCCAGCCGCCGCGGUAAAAC